GAGAGGGAGAAAGAGGGAUUACGGAGGGGAGGUGGUGAGGGAGGGAGGGAAAGAAGAGGACAAUGUUCCGUUGAAAACAUUUCUCUGAUCGGCCACCUAAAUCUACCUGGAUGAAAUACUCAUUCACUGCACUGUUCCUAUUCAGAAGCCUGAUAGACAUUUUUUAAGGGCUUAUAUUUUCUAAUUUAGCUCAGGCACAGACGAGGGGAGCAGAGGGCAGCCGUAGCUGGAGGAACCCUCAUGGGUUAUUGGGCUUAUUCCAUCAGUCACACAGAAAGUAAUAAGAACAGCUCGCAGGGCAGAGACAUGGAGCGAGAGAAAGUUGAUUAAAAGGCAUGUAGACAGAUGGAGAAACAGAAAAAGAGAUCAACAGAGAGAAAAUAGAGAAAUAGUUGAUGAAAAGAAAGUGGCUUUUCUCGCACAAACUUAGUGUGGUGGUCCCACUUGGGUUGGCCCUGAGGCACUGUGUUGGUCAGGUGUGUGUGUCUCUGUGUCUGUGUUUUCCCACUUGGGUUGACCCUGAGGCUCUGUGUUGGUCAGGUGUGUGUGUCUCUGUGUCUGUGUUUUCCCACUUGGGUUGGCCCUGAGGCACUGUGUUGGUCAGGUGUGUGUGUCUCUGUGUCUGUGUUUUCCCACUUGGGUUGGCCCUGAGGCACUGUGUUGGUCAGGUGUGUGUGUCUCUGUGUCUGUGUUUUCCCACUUGGGUUGGCCCUGAGGCACUGUGUUGGUCAGGUGUGUGUGUCUCUGUGUCUGUGUUUUCCCACUUGGGUUGACCCUGAGGCUCUGUGUUGGUCAGGUGUGUGUGUGUGUCUCUGUGUCUGUGUUUUCCCACUUGGGUUGGCCCUGAGGCACUGUGUUGGUCAGGUGUGUGUGUCUCUGUGUCUGUGUUUUCCCACUUGGGUUGACCCUGAGGCUCUGUGUUGGUCAGGUGUGUGUGUCUCUGUGUCUGUGUUUUCCCACUUGGGUUGGCCCUGAGGCACUGUGUUGGUCAGGUGUGUGUGUCUGUGUUUUCCCACUUGGGUUGGCCCUGAGGCACUGUGUUGGUCAGGUGUGUGUGUCUGUGUUUUCCCACUUGGGUUGGCCCUGAGGCACUGUGUUGGUCAGGUGUGUGUGUCUGUGUUUUCCCACUUGGGUUGGCCCUGAGGCUCUGUGUUGGUCAGGUGUGUGUGUCUCUGUGUCUGUGUUUUCCCACUUGGGUUGGCCCUGAGGCACUGUGUUGGUCAGGUGUGUGUGUCUCUGUGUCUGUGUUUUCCCACUUGGGUUGGCCCUGAGGCACUGUGUUGGUCAGGUGUGUGUGUCUCUGUGUCUGUGUUUUCCCACUUGGGUUGGCCCUGAGGCACUGUGUUGGUCAGGUGUGUGUGUCUCUGUGUCUGUGUUUUCCCACUUGGGUUGACCCUGAGGCUCUGUGUUGGUCAGGUGUGUGUGUCUCUGUGUCUGUGUUUUCCCACUUGGGUUGGCCCUGAGGCACUGUGUUGGUCAGGUGUGUGUGUCUGUGUUUUCCCACUUGGGUUGGCCCUGAGGCACUGUGUUGGUCAGGUGUGUGUGUCUCUGUGUCUGUGUUUUCCCACUUGGGUUGGCCCUGAGGCUCUGUGUUGGUCAGGUGUGUGUGUCUGUGUUUUCCCACUUGGGUUGGCCCUGAGGCACUGUGUUGGUCAGGUGUGUGUGUCUGUGUUUUCCCACUUGGGUUGGCCCUGAGGCACUGUGUUGGUCAGGUGUGUGUGUCUGUGUUUUCCCACUUGGGUUGGCCCUGAGGCUCUGUGUUGGUCAGGUGUGUGUGUCUCUGUGUCUGUGUUUUCCCACUUGGGUUGGCCCUGAGGCACUGUGUUGGUCAGGUGUGUGUGUCUCUGUGUCUGUGUUUUCCCACUUGGGUUGGCCCUGAGGCACUGUGUUGGUCAGGUGUGUGUGUGUCUCUGUGUCUGUGUUUUCCCACUUGGGUUGGCCCUGAGGCACUGUGUUGGUCAGGUGUGUGUGUCUGUGUUUUCCCACUUGGGUUGGCCCUGAGGCACUGUGUUGGUCAGGUGUGUGUGUCUCUGUGUCUGUGUUUUCCCACUUGGGUUGGCCCUGAGGCACUGUGUUGGUCAGGUGUGUGUGUCUCUGUGUCUGUGUUUUCCCACUUGGGUUGGCCCUGAGGCACUGUGUUGGUCAGGUGUGUGUGUCUCUGUUUUCCCACUUGGGUUGGCCCUGAGGCACUGUGUUGGUCAGGUGUGUGUGUGUGUGUGUGUGUGUGUUUUCUCACUUGGGUUGGCCCUGAGGCACUGUGUUGGUCAGGUGUGUGUGUCUGUGUUUUCCCACUUGGGUUGGCCCUGAGGCACUGUGUUAGUCAGGUGUGUGUGUGUGUGUGUGUGUGUGUGUGUGUGUGUGUGUGUGUGUGUGUGUGUGUGUGUGUGUGUGUGUGUGUGUGUGUGUGUGUGUGUG